CGGGUGCACUGAUCCAGCCGGGCCUUUCCCUCUGUGGAACCCCAUGGCCUUCACUGGCUGUGGUGGGGAAACAGGACUUUUACUUUGAAAAAAUUAGAGCGCUCCAGGCAGGCCUAUGCUCGAAUACAUUAGCAUGGAAUAAUAGAAUAGGACGUGUGGUUCUAUUUUGUUGGUUUCUAGGACCGCCGUAAUGAUUAAUAGGGACAGUCGGGGGCAUCAGUAUUCAAUUGUCAGAGGUGAAAUUCUUGGAUCUAUUGAAGACUAACUACUGCGAAAGCAUUUGCCAAGGAUGUUUUCAUUGAUAAGGAACGAAAGUUAGGGGAUCGAAGACGAUCAGAUACCGUCGUAGUCUUAACUAUAAACUAUGCCGACUAGGGAUCGGACGAUGUUAUUCUUUGACGCGUUCGGUACCUUUCGAGAAAUCAAAGUGCUUGGGCUCCAGGGGGAGUAUGGUCGCAAGGCUGAAACUUAAAGAAAUUGACGGAAGGGCACCACCAGGGGUGGAACCUGCGGCUUAAUUUGACUCAACACGGGGAAACUCACCAGGUCCAGACACAGUGAGGAUUGACAGAUUGAGAGCUCUUUCUUGAUUCUGUGGGUGGUGGUGCAUGGCCGUUCUUAGUUGGUGGAGUGAUUUGUCUGCUUAAUUGCGAUAACGAACGAGACCUUAACCUGCUAAAUAGCCCGUACUGCUUUGGCAGUUCGCCGGCUUCUUAGAGGGACUAUCGG
rnacentral:rRNA from 1 species